UUCGCCCUUCGGUUGAUCCUGCCGGACCCGACUGCUAUCAGAGUGGGAUUAAGCCAUGCGAGUUAACGUAGCAAUACGUGGCAUACGGCUCAGUAACACGUAGUCAACAUGCCCAGGGGACGUGGAUAACCUCGGGAAACUGAGGAUAAACCGCGAUAGGCCAAGAUUUCUGGAAUGGAUCAUGGCUCAAAUCUAUAUGGCCCCUGGAUUGGACUGCGGCCGAUCAGGCUGUUGGUGAGGUAAUGGCCCACCAAACCUGUAACCGGUACGGGCUCUGAGAGGAGGAGCCCGGAGAUGGGCACUUAGACAAGGGCCCAGGCCCUAUGGGGCGCAGCAGGCGCGAAACCUCUGCAAUAAGCGAAAGCUUGACAGGGUUACUCUGAGUGAUUUCCGCUAAGGAAGUCUUUUGGCACCUCUAAAAAUGGUGCAGAAUAAGGGGUGGGCAAGUCUGGUGUCAGCCGCCGCGGUAAUACCAGCACCCCGAGUGGUCGGGACGAUUAUUGGGCCUAAAGCAUCCGUAGCCGGUCCUGCGAGUCCUCCGUUAAAUCCACCCGCUCAACGGUUGGGCCGCGGGGGAUACUACAGGGCUAGGAGGCGGGAGAGGCAAGCGGUACUCGAUGGGUAGGGGUAAAAUCCACUGAUCCA
rnacentral:rRNA from 1 species